rnacentral:misc_RNA from 1 species
GUGGGAGGGGGCUUGCCCCCGAUAGCGCUAGGUCAGUCUGUCAAUUCUUACCAGACACACCGCAAUCGGGGGCAAGCCCCCUCUUAC